AGCAGGAGGGGUCUCACCAGCAAGACUCCCAAGGCCCCUCUUUGUGGCCUGUGCCAGAAUCUGCAUGGCACCCUUCACUCCAUCACUCCUUGACACUUGAUGGUCUCGUAAAACACCACAUGUAAUUCAGCAGUUUCGGCCCAUAAUGAGCCAACUUUGGCAAGAACAGGGGGGGACACUGUGCAAAGACAGAUCAUAAGCUGAUGGAGUGCGUGCGUCUCCCCAGACUGACUCAGAGCACCAACAUGAUGCAAAAGAAUGGUAUGGAGUUCUUCUUCAUCUGAAGUCCACAGCUCUGGGUCCUUGAAAGUGAAACCGGUCCUGCUCUAAUCACCUUCUCACUUUAAGCAGAAAGGUUCCAUGAUUCCUCCAAGACAUAGAAAGACAAGAAAUUCUAAUCACAUGACUUCCAGCUUGAUUUUCAAAUACUACUGUCCUGCAGGGAAGACAUACAAACAAUUCUGUGAAGGAAGUUCUGAAAGCUGAAGGGGAGUUAGAUGU